rnacentral:rRNA from 2 species
CAUCAUGAUUUACAUUUGAGUGAGUGGCGAACUGGUGAGUAACACGUGGGAAACCUGCCCAGAAGCGGGGGAUAACACCUGGAAACAGAUGCUAAUACCGCAUAACAACUUGGACCGCAUGGUCCGAGUUUGAAAGAUGGCUUCGGCUAUCACUUUUGGAUGGUCCCGCGGCGUAUUAGCUAGAUGGUGAGGUAACGGCUCACCAUGGCAAUGAUACGUAGCCGACCUGAGAGGGUAAUCGGCCACAUUGGGACUGAGACACGGCCCAAACUCCUACGGGAGGCAGCAGUAGGGAAUCUUCCACAAUGGACGAAAGUCUGAUGGAGCAACGCCGCGUGAGUGAAGAAGGGUUUCGGCUCGUAAAACUCUGUUGUUAAAGAAGAACAUAUCUGAGAGUAACUGUUCAGGUAUUGACGGUAUUUAACCAGAAAGCCACGGCUAACUACGUGCCAGCAGCCGCGGUAAUACGUAGGUGGCAAGCGUUGUCCGGAUUUAUUGGGCGUAAAGCGAGCGCAGGCGGUUUUUUAAGUCUGAUGUGAAAGCCUUCGGCUCAACCGAAGAAGUGCAUCGGAAACUGGGAAACUUGAGUGCAGAAGAGGACAGUGGAACUCCAUGUGUAGCGGUGAAAUGCG